AUUCUUUUCAAAACCCUCCUUCUUUCUGGUGAUAGCAAUUCAUCUCUUAGUUCUUUGCUUUCCUUCCUAACCAUUUCUUCUAACUCUCCUUUCAGGAUAACUUUUUUUUUUUUUUUUUUUAAUAUCCCUUUAAGUGCUGCUUUUCUCCAGGAUUCAGCCCCUCAUCUGCUUCUCUCACCCAGUGGGCUCUCUUCCCUGGAUGAUAAAAUCCAUCCUUAAGUUUUUCACUGUUGGGUGUUUGCUGAUGACUUUCCAAACUCGUAUUACACAUCACCUCUUGAAUGAAUGAAUUGAAUCCAAUUCACUCUGUCCAAAAUAAAACACAUAAUAUUUUUUUCACAAACCUGUUAAUUCUUUGCAGAGAUUAUGAAAAUUUCACUUUUGCUCCUCUUUCUCAUUUUUCACAGUAUCUGGUCAUCAGCCCUGCAGAUUUGGCUUCCUAAAGCUCUCUCAGAUUGACUUUCCACUGCCACUCCUUAUGCCAGCAUUCAUGUCUUUUGCCUACAGAGCUAUCCACCAGGUUCCAGAUGCUAGCAGGAUGCGACCAGACUUCCCUGGACAGACAGCCCCAAUAAUGUGCCUUGGAGCUCCUCUUCCCCAUAGCCCUUCCCCACUAGGGAAAGAGAGAGACAGGCUGGGAGUAUGGAUCGACUUGUCAAUGCCCAUGUUCAGUGGGGGAAGCAAUUACAGAAGCCAGACCUUUAACCUUCUGUAUCCCACAAUGAUCUUGGGUCCAUACUCCCAGAGGGUUAAAGAGUAGGAAAGCUAUCAGGGGAGGGGUUGGUAUACAGAGGUCUGGUGGUGGGAACUGUGUGAAGUUGUACCCCUCUUAUCCUAUGGUUUUUGUCACUGUUUCCUUUUUAUAAAUAAAAAAUUUUAAAAAAGAAGAAACUAAGAGAAAUUGCACCUUCAAAAAAAAAAAAAGAAUGAAAGAAAGCAUCUGAGAUAAUGUAAAAAUUCUGUGGUUCUAUGUAGUUCCAACAUCUUAGGAAAAAGGAAAAAUGUAAACAGGUUCCCAACACAACACUGUGCCAUGUUUAGAAUUCUAGCACCUUACAUGCAUUGACAUUUGUUUUCAUAAAUUCAGGCAGCUUCAGAAACAUUUCUCAGUCUCUUAAAAGCCAAAAUAAAACAACAACGUAACACAGGCUUAGUCAGUUCACUUAAUCAUUCAUUUAACACUCAUUAAGAUUCUAAUGAAUGCAGGGGCCAGGCGGAGCCACACCUGUUUAAACGCAUGUAUUACAGUGCACAUGGACCUGGGUACCAUCCCCUGGUUCCCACCUGACGGAGGAAAGUUUCACAAAUGGUGAAGUACGGCUGCACAUGCCUGUCUCUUUCCCUCUCUAUUUCCCACUCCCCUCCAAAUUUCUCUGUCUCUAUCCAAUAAUAAUAAAAUAAAUAAAAACUGUAAAAAAAAAAGAGACUCUAAUGAAUGUCAAGCACUGUACGAAACCCAGACAUAAAGAUUAAUAAAAACAUGAAUGAAAACAUGGGGCCUUACACAGUCAGAACUCCAAAGAAGGGACUAGGUGGUGUCACACCUGGUUGAGAGCACAUGCUACAGUGCGAAAGGACCCAGGUUCAAGUCCCUGGUCCCCACUUGUAGGGAGGAUGCUUCAUGAGUGAUGAAGCAGUGCUGCGUAUGUGUGUCACUCUCCCUCUCUAUCUCCCCCUCCCUUCUCGAUUUCUGGUUGUCUCUAUCAAAUAAAUAAAGACAAUACAAAUUUAAAAAAACUCCAAAGAAGUCUUAAUAAUUAGAAAUACAAAGAAAAAUGCCACUGUUACACAUUAACUGAUUUAUUUUUGACUGAUAUUUUUUGACAUGUGGUUUACCUAUAGUGUGGAGGGGGUAGUUGCUGAAUGACAUCAUGAAUUUUUAUCAGCCUUUCUUCAUCUGUUGCUGCUGAAACGGCAUC